rnacentral:rRNA from 1 species
UUAAAUUGAAGAGUUUGAUCAUGGCUCAGAUUGAACGCUGGCGGCAGGCCUAACACAUGCAAGUCGAACGGUAACAGGAAACAGCUUGCUGUUUCGCUGACGAGUGGCGGACGGGUGAGUAAUGUCUGGGAAACUGCCUGAUGGAGGGGGAUAACUACUGGAAACGGUAGCUAAUACCGCAUAACGUCGCAAGACCAAAGAGGGGGACCUUCGGGCCUCUU